GUUGAUGACUCGGUCAGACCUGGAUUAUUUUAUAUCUGCCUGUUGAAUUCUUACAUUUUGAGCGAAUUUUAGUUGAUAUGUCAAUGAAGAACAAAAGCUGGAAUGUGAACAGAGGAAGGGGUUGUUCGUGGUCUGUAAAUACUGGCGAUAUCAGAUCAAGCAUUGGAAUAAGAUUUUUAUCGGGGGAGGACACCCAACAGAAAGAUGUGAUGUGAAAGAAAUGAUUCACCAACUGGCGCACUGAAACGGGAGAUUCAUGUCACCUUCAUCAGUUCUUUCUUUAAUCACUGGACACCAUUAAGGGAAAGACCCUCAGAUAACAGGAUAAAUGGGGCUGCAGGUUUUGACAGAUUGGACUAGUUAACUUACUUCAACAACUUCUGGGAUGAUGCAAUCCCAACGAAAAAGGGUCACGAUUGUGUGUUGGAACCACAGGCGGUGAGUAAAACUGCUUAAAAUAUCUCUACCUCCUUGUUAGUGCAUCCGCCUCCCAUCGGAGACCCGGGUUCGAGCCCCGCUCGGAGCGAGUCCUUGCUGCUGCUGCUCUCGUUCAGUUUCAGCCUUCACAGCUGUCACAGCUUCCAAACGCUCUCAACGCAACUGGCGCUCGUGAUUCUUUAGCUCCGCCCACACGUCACGCCUCCAGGCGCUCGUGUUUUUCCGGGAAAAAUCGGUACAGACUAUCUUUCUCUUAUGAAUAUAAUAAAACUAAAUACUUUUUGGAGUUAUUAAGGAUGCAGUACUACUCUAUAGGUACUCAAGAUUAACAUGAUAUUGUAUA